rnacentral:rRNA from 1 species
AGCGUACACGGUGGAUGCCCUGGCAGUCAGAGGCGAUGAAGGACGUGCUAAUCUGCGAAAAGCGUCGGUAAGGUGAUAUGAACCGUUAUAACCGGCGAUGUCCGAAUGGGGAAACCCAGUGCAAUUCGUUGCACUAUCGUUAACUGAAUACAUAGGUUAACGAGGCGAACCGGGGGAACUGAAACAUCUAAGUACCCCGAGGAAAAGAAAUCAACCGAGAUUCCCCCAGUAGCGGCGAGCGAACGGGGAGCAGCCCAGAGUCUGAAUCAGCUUGUGUGUUAGUGGAACGGUCUGGAAAGUCCGACGGUACAGGGUGAUAGUCCCGUACACCAAAAUGCACAGGUUGUGAACUCGAAGAGUAGGGCGGGACACGUGGUAUCCUGUCUGAAUAUGGGGGGACCAUCCUCCAAGGCUAAAUACUCCUGACUGACCGAUAGUGAACCAGUACCGUGAGGGAAAGGCGAAAAGAACCCCGGCGAGGGGAGUGAAAAAGAACCUGAAACCGUGUACGUACAAGCAGUGGGAGCACCUUCGGGUGUGACUGCGUACCUUUUGUAUAAUGGGUCAGCGACUUAUAUUCUGUAGCAAGGUUAACCGUAUAGGGGAGCCGCAGGGAAACCGAGUCUUAACUGGGCGUUAAGUUGCAGGGUAUAGACCCGAAACCCGGUGAUCUAGCCAUGGGCAGGUUGAAGGUUGGGUAACACUAACUGGAGGACCGAACCGACUAAUGUUGAAAAAUUAGCGGAUGACUUGUGGCUGGGGGUGAAAGGCCAAUCAAACCGGGAGAUAGCUGGUUCUCCCCGAAAGCUAUUUAGGUAGCGCCUCGUGAACUCAUCUUCGGGGGUAGAGCACUGUUUCGGCUAGGGGGUCAUCCCGACUUACCAACCCGAUGCAAACUACGAAUACCGAAGAAUGUUAUCACGGGAGACACACGGCGGGUGCUAACGUCCGUCGUGAAGAGGGAAACAACCCAGACCGCCAGCUAAGGUCCCAAAGUCAUGGUUAAGUGGGAAACGAUGUGGGAAGGCACAGACAGCCAGGAUGUUGGCUUAGAAGCAGCCAUCAUUUAAAGAAAGCGUAAUAGCUCACUGGUCGAGUCGGCCUGCGCGGAAGAUGUAACGGGGCUAAACCAUGCACCGAAGCUGCGGCAGCGACACUAUGUGUUGUUGGGUAGGGGAGCGUUCUGUAAGCCUGCGAAGGUGACCUGUGAGGGUUGCUGGAGGUAUCAGAAGUGCGAAUGCUGACAUAAGUAACGAUAAAGCGGGUGAAAAGCCCGCUCGCCGGAAGACCAAGGGUUCCUGUCCAACGUUAAUCGGGGCAGGGUGAGUCGACCCCUAAGGCGAGGCCGAAAGGCGUAGUCGAUGGGAAACAGGUUAAUAUUCCUGUACUUGGUGUUACUGCGAAGGGGGGACGGAGAAGGCUAUGUUAGCCGGGCGACGGUUGUCCCGGUUUAAGCAUGUAGGCUGGUUGUCCAGGCAAAUCCGGAUAAUCAAGGCUGAGGUGUGAUGACGAGGCACUACGGUGCUGAAGUAACAAAUGCCCUGCUUCCAGGAAAAGCCUCUAAGCAUCAGGUAACAUCAAAUCGUACCCCAAACCGACACAGGUGGUCAGGUAGAGAAUACCAAGGCGCUUGAGAGAACUCGGGUGAAGGAACUAGGCAAAAUGGUGCCGUAACUUCGGGAGAAGGCACGCUGGUGUGUAGGUGAAGCCCCUGCGGGUGGAGCUGAGACCAGUCGAAGAUACCAGCUGGCUGCAACUGUUUAUUAAAAACACAGCACUGUGCAAACACGAAAGUGGACGUAUACGGUGUGACGCCUGCCCGGUGCCGGAAGGUUAAUUGAUGGGGUUAUCCGUAAGGAGAAGCUCUUGAUCGAAGCCCCGGUAAACGGCGGCCGUAACUAUAACGGUCCUAAGGUAGCGAAAUUCCUUGUCGGGUAAGUUCCGACCUGCACGAAUGGCGUAAUGAUGGCCAGGCUGUCUCCACCCGAGACUCAGUGAAAUUGAACUCGCUGUGAAGAUGCAGUGUACCCGCGGCAAGACGGAAAGACCCCGUGAACCUUUACUAUAGCUUGACACUGAACAUUGAGCCUUGAUGUGUAGGAUAGGUGGGAGGCUUUGAAGCGUGGACGCCAGUCUGCGUGGAGCCAACCUUGAAAUACCACCCUUUAAUGUUUGAUGUUCUAACGUUGGCCCCUGACCGGGGUUGCGGACAGUGUCUGGUGGGUAGUUUGACUGGGGCGGUCUCCUCCCAAAGCGUAACGGAGGAGCACGAAGGUUAGCUAAUCCUGGUCGGACAUCAGGAGGUUAGUGCAAUGGCAUAAGCUAGCUUGACUGCGAGCGUGACGGCGCGAGCAGGUGCGAAAGCAGGUCAUAGUGAUCCGGUGGUUCUGAAUGGAAGGGCCAUCGCUCAACGGAUAAAAGGUACUCCGGGGAUAACAGGCUGAUACCGCCCAAGAGUUCAUAUCGACGGCGGUGUUUGGCACCUCGAUGUCGGCUCAUCACAUCCUGGGGCUGAAGUAGGUCCCAAGGGUAUGGCUGUUCGCCAUUUAAAGUGGUACGCGAGCUGGGUUUAGAACGUCGUGAGACAGUUCGGUCCCUAUCUGCCGUGGGCGCUGGAGAAUUGAGGGGGGCUGCUCCUAGUACGAGAGGACCGGAGUGGACGCAUCACUGGUGUUCGGGUUGUCAUGCCAAUGGCACUGCCCGGUAGCUAAAUGCGGAAGAGAUAAGUGCUGAAAGCAUCUAAGCACGAAACUUGCCCCGAGAUGAGUUCU